AACGCGAAGAACCUUACCUGGGCUUGACAUGUACUUGACAGUUGUAGAAAUACAAUCUUUUAGGCUUUUAGUCUAAACGGGUACACAGGUGCUGCAUGGCUGUCGUCAGCUCGUGUCGUGAGAUGUUGGGUUAAGUCCUAUAACGAGCGCAACUCCUGCUAUCAGUUGCUACCAUUUUUGGGCACUCUGAUGGAACUGCCCGGGAAACCGGGAGGAAGGUGGGAAUGACGUCAAGUCCGCAUGGCCCUUAUGUCCAGGGCGACACACGUGUUACAAUGGCCGAUACAAAGGGCUGCCAACCUGCAAAGGUGAGCUAAUCCCAAAAGUCGGUCUAAGUUCGGAUUGAGGUCUGCAACCCGACCUCAUGAAGUUGAAAUCGCUAGUAAUUGCGUAUCAGAACGGCGCAGUGAAUACGUUCCCGGGCCUUGUACACACCGGAGUGC
rnacentral:rRNA from 1 species